rnacentral:misc_RNA from 1 species
AUUAAUGUAUGCCCCAAAUUAUAACUAAAGCCUACUUGCUAUUACUGCUUCAAUGUUACACAGCUACCAAAUUCUUACUUGUAUGUACAGCAAUUCUUUGAAACAGGCAGCAAGAUGCAUGAAAAAUCCGCUUUGGGGAUUAACGCAUGGUUUAUAAACCAUAGAGAGCAACCACCCAAAAAAGGGAAGGAAGGGAACUGAGAAGAAUUGUAAUUGCCGA